rnacentral:rRNA from 1 species
AGUGAACGCUGGCGGUAGGCCUAACACAUGCAAGUCGAACGGCAGCACAGUAAGAGCUUGCUCUUACGGGUGGCGAGUGGCGGACGGGUGAGGAAUACAUCGGAAUCUACUUUUUCGUGGGGGAUAACGUAGGGAAACUUACGCUAAUACCGCAUACGACCUACGGGUGAAAGCAGGGGAUCUUCGGACCUUGCGCGAUUGAAUGAGCCGAUGUCGGAUUAGCUAGUUGGCGGGGUAAAGGCCCACCAAGGCGACGAUCCGUAGCUGGUCUGAGAGGAUGAUCAGCCACACUGGAACUGAGACACGGUCCAGACUCCUACGGGAGGCAGCAGCGGGGAAUAUUGGACAAGGGGCGCAAGCCUGAUCCAGCCAUACCGCGUGGGUGAAGAAGGCCUGCGGGUUGUAAAGCCCUUUUGUUGGGAAAGAAAAGCAGCAGGUUAAUACCCCGCUGUUCUGACGGUACCCAAAGAAUAAGCACCGGCUAACUUCGU